CCUACGGGUGGCAGCAGUAGGGAAUAUUGCUCAAUGGGGGCAACUCUGAAGCAGCCAAGCCGCGUGGAGGAUGACGGCCCUCUGGUUUUUAACUCCUUUUGUUAGGGAAGAUAUGUCGGUCUCUAAUGACUUAUCACAGGCUAACUCCGUGCAAGCAGCCGCGGUAAUACGGCCGGUGCAGGCGUUACUCGGAAUCACUGGGCGUAAAGAGCGCGUUGGCGGGAUAGCAAGUCAGCUGUGAAAUGCUAUGGCGUAACCGUGGAACUGCAUUGGAUACUGGUAUGCUAGAGUAUGGGAGAGGUAGGUGGAAUUCGUGGUGUAGCGGUGAAAUGCGUAGAGAUCAAGAAGAAUACUGAUUGCGAAGGCGGCCUGCUGGAGCAUAACUGACGCUGAGGCGCGAAAGCGUGGGGAGCGAACAGGAUUAGAUACCCUUGUAGUC
rnacentral:rRNA from 1 species